rnacentral:rRNA from 1 species
AACUAACGCUGGCGGCGUGCCUAACACAUGCAAGUCGUACGAGAAAGUUGGCUUCGGCCGAUGAGUACAGUGGCGCACGGGUGAGUAACGCGUGGAUAAUCUGCCCUUAAGUGUGGAAUAACGUACCGAAAGGUGCGCUAAUACCGCAUAAUGCCUGGCAACAUAAGUUGUCCGGCCAAAGAAGGCCUCUGCUUGCAAGCUUUCGCUAAAGGAUGAGUCCGCGUACCAUUAGCUAGUUGGUGGGGUAACGGCCUACCAAGGCGACGAUGGUUAGCUGGUCUGAGAGGAUGAUCAGCCACACUGGAACUGAGACACGGUCCAGACUCCUACGGGAGCAGCAGUGAGGAUAUUGCGCAAUGGGGCAACCCUGACGCAGCAACGCCGCGUGAGUGAGGAAGGUUUUCGGACUGUAAAGCUCUGUCGAGCGGGAAGAAGUGUACCAUGGCUAAUAUCCAUGAUAUUGACGGUACGCUAGAGAACG